AAGAUCAUACUUUCAGGAUCAUUUCUGUAGUAUGUAUCUUCGCCUUCUCCAUACAAUUAUGGAGUCGAUGUAACCAUGAUGAUGAGCCGUGGCUCCUUGUCCUGAGCGUGAGGUUGGCCUAUUUCUCAAAUUCUUGAGAAGUAGUGCUACGAUGAUCGCAGUCUCCUCGGAGGCAGGGAUGAGGAUGCCGGCUGAGUGGU